UGAAUGAAAGAUGAGCUUACUUGCUGCUAGGGUUUCCGAAAAAUUACAGGCAUUUGGAUACCGUCACUCAAACAUUCUUUGCCCUUACUUCUAAAGAUGCAAAGUAAAUUUAUCAAAUUUAAUUUAUGAAUUUAUAAAAUUAACCUAAAAAUUUGUUGGCAUGGAAUUUCUACUUGGUUUUCCAUAGACUAAAAGCUCGUAUCACCUUUGGUCCAUCUGCUACCACGACAGGAUCAGCUGCUAUACAAAAUAAAGAUAGUUUUGCGCGUUUAUUCGAGCUUGAACUAGCCAGUAUAGCUUGUGCCUUUCUCUUAAAAAUUUAAGCUGUUUAAAUGUCUCACGCAGGGAGUUUAAUAAAAUAUAAGCAUUUAGUAUCAAAGAC